GGUCAGCCUCUGCUUCCCGACCAGAGUGUGCUGUGCCCGAAUUUGUGCCUCAGGCCGGCUAAGAACCAGGUUCAUACAGACACUUCGGCACAUAUCCUGCAGAAGAUCCGUCUGGUCCGUACACUUGGGUUCCCCUCAUCCUGUUUCCUCCAUGUCCCGCUGCAGCUCUCGAGUGAUACUGGCAUGUGGUCGCAGACUCCAAGCCAAGAAAGGAAUGUCUUUCGCUGAUGUGUUUUCCAAAACGGUCAAGGGUUAUUGGUACCUUUCCAGGUAAAACCUCGUGCCAGUUUCCCUCAGUUUACGGGGAAGUUACAUUAAUGGAAAAUCCAGUGUAUUGAAGUCUCUGCAAAACAGAUUUGCAUCCCUGCAACUUUGCCUUCCUGAAUGCCAGUACCACCCUUUCAUCAUUUCAGCAAUCAAAAUGGCCCUCUGAACUCUCCAAAAUGUGCCAGUAUUUUGGUUUAAAUACUAAGUACGAUGCGGUUUUAAACCACAAGAAGAGGGUCUUAUGCAGGUACCCCCAUCCCACCCAAAGCCUGGUAUUCACAGACAAAAGAUAGGAAGGUUGUGGUCCUUGUCUGCAUUUGGUCAGAGGAAAUAGCGUGGCAGCGUGGAGUAGGGCACAGUACCUUCCAGGAAGGAUUCUGGGCACCUUCCUCUUCCGUGUGCUUCCUGCGAUGAGAAAACGUUUCAGGGACAGCGGGGGUGUGAGGUAAAGCUUUGUUUCAGAGGUCACCACUGCCAUGGGAUGUCAGUGCCCAGGAUGGUUUUGUGGUAGUCACGGCCCUUAGCUCUGGACCUGGGGUUCUCCUCAUUGAUGAGAAGCCUUUCCAGGUGCGGACAGCAGGGUGAGGGGCUGGGCUAGGGCUUGAAAACUACUGUCCUGUUUGGCACAGCAGAUGAGAUCACAGACGGACAGCUGCAAGGAGAAGAGGGAGACGAUCUUCUAAGGUCAGGGCAAGGUUUCUGGCAGGUGAAGGGAAGACAUAGGCCCCAAGUUCUGGUUGCUCCAGGCUGACGUGGAAUGGAGUGUGGGUGCAAGAAUGAACCAAAGGCUGAGAGGAGGUGGGGAUAAUAGAUCGCAUAACCUCACAUCCUAUGGAUUACGUGGUCCCUGAGAAAAGCCCGUGCUGUCCUAGGAGCUAAAUGUCAUCUCCUGUCACCACCGCCACCCACUGGCCUGGAAGAGAAUGGUUUUGAGAUAGAACCCUUCAGGGAGAAAGGCCAGGGGGUCAUGGUGUCUUCUCAGAAAAUCCACUGCCCUACCCCUGUUUUGACUCUCACGCCGUGUGUUCUUUAUGUCCUGUCGUCUUGCCUGCUUUCAGGCUGGUCUUCUCAGGUGUGUAUCUGUCCAGAAAGUCAGUACGUUGGAGACGGGCUUGCUCCCAAAGGGGCUUAAUUCAGUUCUUGAGUGUUUCCUAGGCAGAGUUUAAAAAAAAAAUCACAGAUUCUAGGGCACCGUUGUGGCCACACUAAGUGAGAUUCAUUGGGUGUGGAUCACAGCAUGUGCAUUUUUUUAAGAGUUCCUGGGUUCUGACUCAUGUGGACAGCUUGUCUGGGAACUACUGGAGCAGGGGGAUGGUACUAUUUUUCUUGCCGCCAGGCUUCUCUCUCCUUUGUGAGGGUGCAGAAGUGACACCGGUUUUUGGUGCCUUCUCUAAGGAGGCUCUGAGAGUACUGUUUCCAGAAAGUCUCCAGAAUCCAGUCCAGUCGAGCUUCCGUCUGCAUGAUUGCUGUUGCACUCACAUUUCUGUUUACCGUGUGCUUCCAUGCGCUGCAACCAGUUAGUGGUCUGUGUUAGCCGUUAUUCUGCAUACUUUGCACUGGCCAUUGGAGCUUACCACUGACUGAACAAACCCACAGCGGGGUGAGUUUUCCACAACGCCUUCAGACCCGUGCCUCCAGCCCUCACAGCUGGGCGACACUGAGCAAGCUGCUUAACAGAAUCUGAGAGCCUCGUUUCAUGUAGCAACAUGGAAAUACUUGUUAAUGCCAAGCGGAGCUGCUUCUUGGGGCCGUUUAGAGCACUGACUGUGUUAAGACAAGGAAAGUUGUCAGGGCAGUGCCUGGCAUGUGGAGAGCUGUCAGCGAGUUCUAGCUGCUGUUCCUGUUGUCAUUCUCACAUUUCCCUGAAGCGUUUUCCAGACGCGUGGUGUCAAGACUACCUCUGACUCACCGGAGGGACUUGGCACUCUCACGUCAGCAACUCAAGAGACUCCAGAGUCAAGUCGGGGGUGGGGGGUGGGUGCCCAGGGGAGGGCGUGUUUUUCCUUACCAUAGUGAGUGUUCGGCCAACCUUAUGGGUUAUUAUGAAGCCUGAAUGGAAAGUUCUCUAGGAAGUUAGAACAAAUGACCCAUUCAUACCUCUUACACGAUGGUUGGAAAAGUAAGUGGUCACUGGAUAAGGACAGAACACGAGUCUGUGAAUUUGCAUAAUCAUGUCAAAGAGUGAAAUUUCAAGGCCAGAGACCCGCAUCAUGUGGCUUCUUUUCUGGCUGUUAGUUCUAUUGAAUCCACUUCUGCAUCAGAUGGUCACAAGUGAACCUGGGAAAGAUAGGAAACUGUUACUAGUCAAAUUGUCGUCGGCAAGACUUUAUUUCUCAUGGAGUUUUCACCUGUCCAGUUUUAUUGUAUGGAUUUUUCUCUUCCACUGAUACUCAUUAUUGAUUUAACAAAGGCUGAUGUAUUAAUAUUUUCGGAGCUCCGUCAUGAGGAGAUGGUAAACAGUGUUUCUGGAGAGUCUGAGGAAAGGGGCAGGGGGGAGGGAAAGGCGGAGGGUGAGGUGAAGGUGUACGGGGGGCGGGGGCAGGAGGAGAGACGUCACGGCAAAGAGGAGGGGAAGGAUGAGGGGCACAAGCAGAAAGAAGUAAAGAGACAUAGGAGUAGAAGCUCACACGUCCGGAGGCUUCCUUUAGGCUUGGCAUUGUUUUUAGCUCUUUCUCUACAGAUAGAAUUUUAAAAGUCAUUUAAAAGUCUCUUCAACACUGGGAGGUAAAUAUUUUUAAUGUUAACAUCCCCUUUUUACAAACCAGAAAACCGAGACACGUAGAGGUUAAGAGGGGAAAUAACUUCCCUGAAGCCACCUAGCCAGCAAGGGCAGAGUCGGGGUUGUACCCAGGUCAGAGAGAAACAUAAAGAGACUUGGGAUUUGCCCCUCAACUGCAGUGCACCUCAGUGUCCAGUGUCCUCCGGCUCAAAAGGCCGGUGAACGUGUGCAGCAGCUUAAUCUGAUUACACUGCAUCUGGGUAUGGAUUGAUCCUGAUGUCUCUUCAGUGCGUGAAACACUGUGGGGUGGCAAGUCACUCUAGGCACAUCAGUAAGUGGGUACCUGGUUCAUAUCAAGGCCUGUACAUGUGGACGUCACCAUCAUUAUCAUGAUGGACAGUAGUUUAUGGUAUAAUGUUGGGAAGUAAAACAACAGAGAAAAGAGUGUAGAUGACCUCCCCGCUCCAAUCUCGUAAUUUAAAAAAAAAUGCAUAGAAUGAAGCCUGGAUGACAGUACACCACAUUAAGUCAUUUUCCCUAAGUGUGAAACUCUUAGAUAAUUGGCAGAUAACGUUUUGUUCGCUGUUCGAUGUGCCGUGUCUUCUCUGUUAUUGCACAGCCAGUGUUUCUGUUACACGUUUUAAGUCAUUUUGAUGAAGACUCCAGCUUUGAUAUCCUAGCCAGGAGAAACACCAGUCGGGGCAUUUAAUGGAGAGAGGAGAUCUUUGGUUCAGUAGAGAGGAGCAGUGGGGGAAGCAGAGAGCUUUGGGCGGAAGGUUAGCUAAGUCUGCAGUUGCUGUGAAAUCACCCCAGAGGAUACAGGCCAAAACCAAAUCAAACCAGAUAGCAGCUUGCGUAUCCCGAGGAGGAGACCGUUGCGCCAUUGAGAUGAGUAUCUGCACUAAGAUUUCUUAGACUUUUAUUCUCCGUUGGCCCCUGUGGUGCAGCAGGGCGACGUGUGGUGCUUAGGAGGCAGCACUGCUCGGCGCUGGGCUGUGGGUGAGAGCAGCAGCCUCACCUGAAGCAUUCUCCUUUUGAGGGCCAGUUGGAGUACUUUCCUUGAUGUCUGGAAGCUGACGGAUUCAGAAGAGAAAACAGAAAAUACACAGCACAGCAGUUAGAUCCAGCUCUCCUCCAACAGAUCCCUACAUCGCAAGUGAGCCGCAGGCACAGGUGUUGUAGUCAUUGGUUGGGAAUUAGCAGGUUGGGUUGGGAGACUCGAAGAAGAAACAUGGAAGUGAAUAAAAGGUGAGAGAACACCUCAAGAGGGGACAAACCGCAGCCAUCCUAUUUUCUGGCCUUGCUUUUCUGCUAAGAAAAUCGUGUGCUCCGUUACUGUGGGGAGAGGGCAUCCUGGCCCGAGGUCUGGGAAGGAAUCACUGCAAGUGGUGAUGAGCAUUCUGAGGACCCACCGUCAGCGGUAACAAGGGGACACUGAGUGUGUGAAGGCGCCGAGGCCUCUGCCUUUACCAUAGACUCAAAGCUUUUUAGCCCUGCUGAGAGUCAUGCUGCUUCACCUUGCAGAAGCUCAGAGCCACCAUCUAGCAAAACUGCUGGUGCUUCUCCACAUCCUAAUCCAGCUCGGGGUGUCCGCCCAGGCACUGCUCACUGAUCUGCAGGAGCGUAAUGGUGACCGUGUGUGUUUGUGCGCAAGUGCGUAACAGGCAUAGGGAGAGAGACUGUUCAUUUAACUGUGAUUCACCGAGUUCCCAGCCACUAUCUGGACACUGUGUUGGGUGCCUGGGAGAUGUAGUUAAUAAAGACACUUCCCUGUUUUUGUGCAGUUUAUGCCAGAUCAUCAGAGAGUAGUUAAUCUAACCAUCAUACAAGGAAACAUAAAAAUUACACCUGUGAUUAGUGGUGCAAAGAGGUGCACUUUAUGGAGGUAUGACUGAUAGGUAGAGCUGUAUGUAUUUCAUGUGUACAACUUAUAUGCCAUCUCUGCCAUCUAGGACAUAGAUGGAACCAUCACCUUCCAGGGUUUCCUCCCGCCCCCUUUGUCUUGUGGGUGUGGUGAUUAUAUUCUUACCAUUAGUGGUAAGAACACUUAGCAUAAGAUCAUCUGGUAGUGAUUUUAAGUAUACAGCACGGUUAUCCUCAGCGAAUGGCACGGUGUGUGCAGUAGAACUCCAGAAUGUAUUUAUCUUGCAUAAUUAUAAGUUUGGACCUUUGACUAUCACCUCACGCACGGUUCACCCCUGUCCCAAUCCCUGGCAACCAUUGUUCUGUGCUCUGCUUCUAAGAGUCUGUUUUAGAUUGCAUAUACAAGUGAGACAAUGCAGUGUUUGUCUUUCUGUGUCUGCUUUAUCGUACUUCGCCAUCAUGCACCCUAGGUUUGCACGGCA